AAAUACAAAUUAAAUUACAGUCUUAGUUGUAGAUUUCCAGUCAAUUCAAAAUGUAAGCUCUCUCUGGUUAGCAGUUUUAAUUCAAUCCUUGUUCAAUCUCCAACUUUUAAGCAUUCACUUGCCAAUAAAGUGUCACCGUUCAGCCCCCUGCAACUUCGGUGGUGCAGACUCUCGUCUGAAGGCAUCUCUUCAUGUUACAGGACAUGGAAGAGAAAGGGGGAUGGAAAGCACAUUAGGCAGGCUACGUCUCCAGAGACCUCCUCCUUUACUCCCCGGCCUCAGUGCAGCAGUACCAGGUUGAAACCCAGCACAGGAAGAUGAAUGAAGUGGAGACGAGAGCCCCUGAGGACAAAGAGCAGCACAGCUGGAAGAAGAGGACGUUUUCUCAGAGGUACCACCAGUGCGCUACCACCUAGGAACGUCUACCUGGGGUGGUGGCACAUCAACUGGAAAUACCUACCUGCUGCCCCAUGGGCAUGAAAUACCUGCAUGCCUGCCAUAUACAGCUUUGCAGUCCCACCUGAGUUGGUGAUACCUAUAACGUUGGUACCUCUUCAGAUGCAACUGUCGUGCCCCUCUUCCGGCUUGUGGGCUGGAGCAGUGGGGCCAUCGUUCACAUGAGUAGGCCUCAUCGUUCACAUGAGGAGCAAGAAAGUGGGCAACCAAGCUGAUGUUGGCAGCAAACGCAGGCUAAGUCCAGGCUACAGCAGGUCUGAGAGGAGGUAAAUUCA
rnacentral:lncRNA from 1 species